GACGAACGCUGGCGGCGUGCUUAACACAUGCAAGUCGAACGGAAAGGCCCUGCUUUUGUGGGGUGCUCGAGUGGCGAACGGGUGAGUAACACGUGAGUAACCUGCCCUUGACUUUGGGAUAACUUCAGGAAACUGGGGCUAAUACCGGAUAGGAGCUCCUGCUGCAUGGUGGGGGUUGGAAAGUUUCGGCGGUUGGGGAUGGACUCGCGGCUUAUCAGCUUGUUGGUGGGGUAGUGGCUUACCAAGGCUUUGACGGGUAGCCGGCCUGAGAGGGUGACCGGCCACAGUGGGAAUGAGAUACGGCCCAGACUCCUACGGGAGGCAGCAGUGGGGAAUAUUGCACAAUGGGCGGAAGCCUGAUGCAGCAACGCCGCGUGCGGGAUGACGGCCUUCGGGUUGUAAACCGCUUUCGCCUGUGACGAAGCGUGAGUGACGGUAAUGGGUAAAGAAGCACCGGCUAACUACGUG
rnacentral:rRNA from 1 species